AGUGAACGCUGGCGGCAGGCCUAACACAUGCAAGUCGAACGAGUGGCGGACGGGUGAGGAAUGUCUGGGAAACUGCAUGAUGGAGGGGGAUAACUACUGGAAACGGUUGCUAAUAACGCAUAACAUCAGAUGUGCCCAGAUGUGAUUAGUUGGUUGGUGGGUUAACGGCGAACCAAGGCGACGAUCCCUAGCUGGUCUGAAAGGAUGACCAGCCACUCGGGAACGAGGACACGGUCCAGACUCCUACGGGAGGCAGCAGUGAGAAAUAUUGCACAAGUGGCACAAGCCUGAUGUAGCCAUGCCGCGUGUAUGAAGAAGGCCUUCGGGUUGUAAAGUACUUUCAGCGGGGAGGCGUUACCCGCCGAAGAAGCACCGGCUAACUCCGUGCCAGCAGCCGCGGUAAUUC
rnacentral:rRNA from 1 species